ensembl:lncRNA
AUCUAUUAAGUGUUUCCGACUUCCUUAUGUUUAAGGGUGUCUUUGACAUCCUCAUAACUGGCUGCUGACUGUGUGACCUUUUCACAUGUGACAUCUUUAUUUUUCUUUCUUUUUUGAGUGGGUGAAUAGUAAAAAUUUCCCAGUAAAAUGUAAACCAUUAACCAACAUGCUUCUGACAGCAUAUGAAAAACACAUUUCUGCAUGUAACCAGAAAAAAACAAAACAAAAAAAACAAAAAAAAACAAAAAAAACGUUUAUAUUACAUUUUAUUUGUCCAAGAAUGUGAGAAAACGACUCCUGAUAAUUACUUUAUAUAACAGACAAAAAUAUGUUGUGGUACUUGUCACUGUGUUGUGUAACAUUUUGGUUUCACAAUAAAGACAUAUCUUUUGUUCACAGCUGACGAUUCACAUACUGUACAUCAAUAGACUAUCACAGGCGUUAUGUAACUCCAAACUGGAAUUACCUAUAACCUGUGCCAAUUUCCAAAAGCUGUGCCAUUGACGACACAUCUGACAAUAGAUGGUGCAGCAAAUGCAGCUGCUAUAUUCAAAUCAGCAAAAUAUCAUUUGGUGGGGGAAACUGUAAGAUGAGGACUGUGAACUUCACUUUCUGAAUGAAAGCAAACAAAAAGCAAAGUUUAUCGCACUCAUCAUCAGAUAAACUGAAACUGGUGAGCACCCCUAGGGAGCACACUAUUGAGUGUUCAACUAUGCACAGUGCAUGUGUGACCUGGGACAAUAUGGUGGAAAUUCUGCUUUUUUUAGCUGUAAUUGUCCUCACAACACUUUGAGAAGGCGUCUUGGGAGAAGUUUCUUCUGCUGUCUGUGGUACAACAUUUCCUAUUAACCUUAACAGUAUACAGAUGUUUAAUUUUAAGAUAUAUGGUAACACUUUAGUAUGCUGUAUCCAGAUCAGACGGUUACUGCAGUCACCCGGAUCCAGUACGUAUCCAGACCAGAUGGUGGAUCAGCACCUAGAGAUGACCUCGACAGCCCUGAAUGUCAGCCGAGACCAGGACAACUGCACCCCAGAUACAGAUCCCCAGUGAAGACCUUGUCUAGACGGCCACAGGGACAAGACCACAGGAACCAGUUGAGUCCUCUGCACAAUCUGACUUUGCUGCAGCCUGGAAUUGAACUGGUGGUUUCGCCUGGCCAGAGGAGAACUGGUUUAGUUGGGGACUUGACUGAUUGCACAUAUACUGAGCUGAGCCUGGAGUUUCGGUUCUUUGCAGCUGUCACCUUUAGCUUGCUUAGCUGGGGAUGCUUGAUUGAUUGCACAGAUACUAUUUGAAGAGAGCUGAAUGAUGACUGAAUCAUGAACUGACUUUAGCUGGAAAAUUGACUCUUUGUCAUUGUCCUCUUGCAUUAUUGACAAGCUAUUUCCUGUUGACCCUGUAAAGCUGCUUUGACACAAUCUGUAUUGUAUAAAAUGCUGUAUAAAUACAGGUGACUUGGCUUGACUAUGGGGACCAGUUCUCAUAAUUAAAUAGUCACUUAUUAGCAUUCCUAUAAUUAACAUACUGGGUGUUUAUUAGUAACUAUCAAGCACAUAUUCUGCAUGACCAUAUUCUACAUCCCUAAUCCUACUCAAUACCUAAACUUAACUUACUACCUUACUAUCUAUUAAUAAGCAGCAUAUUAGGAGUUUAUUG